UACGUAGGGGGGCGAGCGUUUGUCCGGAUUUAUUGGGCGUAAAGAGCGUGUAGGCGGCCCGGUAAGUCCGCUGUGAAAGUCCAGGGCUCAACCCUGGGAUGCCGGUGGAUACUGUCGGGCUCGAGUCCGGAAGAGGCGAGUGGAAUUCCUGGUGUAGCGGUGAAAUGCGCAGAUAUCAGGAGGAACACCAAUGGCGAAGGCAGCUCGCUGGGACGUGACUGACGCUGAGACGCGAAAGCGUGGGGAGCAAACAGG
rnacentral:rRNA from 1 species